UUUAUGGAAGAAAAAGAUCGAGGUGCACAAAGAAAGGCCCAAAUACUCAAAGGCAUGGGAAAUAUUUCCUCUGCCUAUUACUAGGACCGGAUAAGCUCCAAGAAAGAAAAUCCACCUAGAUAUUUUAAACUGGGAAUGUCUCCCCAAAGCCUGGUAAAUGUUCACAUAUGUCUUCAUGAAAUUUGCAAUAUGGAUUGUUUACACAGCCCUGAUUGAGGGCAUGAGCGCCAUUAAAAAGGAUCAAGUCGGUUUAGGGAUGGAAAAUUAUAGAAACCAGAGCUGUUAUCCACAAGGAGAAGUGUAGAUUUUUGGUUUCUUUGAAACAAUGAUACGCAGGUCUUGAUAUUAAAAGGUAUUUCGGCAACCAAGAGUAAGCUGUUUGGUGGUCCUUCGAAGUUCUAUAAGGAAGCAACAAGGCAGUAAGUCACUCCUCCUCAAACAGGUCUGAAGGCAAGUGUUGAUGGCCUAGCUGGGGCUCUAUGACAUCUCUCUCUCUCUUUCCAGUGGGACACUAAGAGAUUUUCCAUGGCGGGAGCUCGGCUCUCCUGGUGUGGGGUUUACUUUGUUCAGAUGUUGUGCUGGGAUCUGAGGAGACCGUUGGGCUAUGACUCCACGGGGUGAUUGCUAAGGAUGGAGCCUCUGCGUGUACGUCUCAGAAGACCGUAAUUCUUACUGCUGGAAGGCUCCAUGGCUGGUUCCCUCUGAGUUAAGCUUCUAUUUCUGUAGCCCAGAUGUAAUGAGGAGGUGCCUAUGAUAGAUGUAGAAUACAAACCCCACAUAGCUUAAAGCUGGCAGAUGUCCCCUGAAAAAUGAUGCCACACCUUGUCCCUGAAUGAGGAAGAAGGCAGAGAUCUGCAGGAUUAUACUGAGUGGAAGACAUGGCUUCACCUUCUAAUUUGUUUUUGUUGUUGUUGUUGUUGUUUUUUGUUUUUUAAUGGAAUGCAUACCUCAGAAUUUCUUAAUAAAAACACCUCUCUUGUUAAACGUCGUCAUUGUAUUUUUAUUGUUGUGAUGGGAAUGGAUGUUUUAAUGCCCUGGAAUAGUUUAAUGCUGAGAUAGCAAAGGGCUGGAGACAGCUGCUAGUAAACAUGAAAACAGCUAUAUACUGGUAUCACAAUGGAUUUUUUUUUAAUUUGAGAUUCCAGGAUGGGUAAAUUUCUCACUCCACCAAAUGGCUGGUUCCAUGUAAAUUGACUACACAUAAUAGGGAGUGUUUCCCUGGAAAACCAGGCACUUUAUAUCAUUCGAAAGACCAAAUGCAGACUUACUGCCUCCUCUUUGUUAUUUACUUUUUUAAAACCUACAAGUAAAACACCUAAGGAGUGUAGCGAUAUGGAGCGCCCCAGUAAGGCCGUCUUCCAGAAUUUAUAAACAGUUCCAGAAGCAGUUAACUUCAUGAGUUUUCAGCUAUCUGUGCAGGACUUAAGCAAAACAGGAUUUUUCUACCAGGCAGAUUAAGAUCACUUGAUCAUCACCAUGCUUAUCUUUUUGACACACACAGAAAAGGCAAAUCUAAAAUGUCUCUGAAUGGUUAUUCCAGUAUAACAUUAAAAGCUAAAAUGGCCAGACAGAAACAAAAGAGUAAGAGAUAGGUCAGUGUGGCAGUUGACAAAAGAUCAUUAACAAGAACCUACAGAAGGUACCUAUAUAGUAUCACAAUUAUAUAUAUAAGUAUGAGAUUAUAAUACAUUGGGGAACAAAAGAACCUACUGACAUAGAUUUCAUGAAACCUGUAUGUCCACAGUGACUUACCUAAAGAUCUAUUCUGAACCCAUAUGAGACACUGUUGGGGAAGAUCUUUAUGGACUUUAUAGCACAGAGGAGCUCUCGAAAGAAUAGCUUCAUUGGUAACAAGGGGUCUUAAGUCCAAUAACACAACUUCUAAGAGACUAAGAAGAGACAAGACACACAGUGGGGAGGCCAGAUGGACACACAAUCAGGGACUCCUACUAGCCACAAGAGGUUGGGAGACACACACACAGAACUGGCUCACUGUGAGCCCUUAAAACAGGAACCACUUCGAUUUCAGAUUUCUGCUUCCAGAACUGUGUGACAAGGAAUUAAUCUUAGUUUAGAACACACAUUUGUGGCAAUUGGUUACAAUAGCUGUAGGAAAAGCAAGCCAGAGUUAUUUGACCAUGAGGGUGAAAAAAAAACAGGCUCAAGGGAUAACAGAGUGGCUGAACUGUCACAACGUGAUGCUCUGGACUGGAUCUCAUGAACAACCAGAAUUCAGGGAUGUGUUUUACCCAUAGCAUCCUUCUUCUCUAUCUACUUCACCUCCUCUGACAGAAAACCAGCUUUCUUCACUUGACAAGAGAGAUUCUCUGCUAGCAUCUCAGUUUUCCAUCGUACUGUUUCUAUCACUUCAUGAGAAUGUCUACCCAUGUCUACAAGCCCCUGGGAAAGAGUCUAUGCUGCCUAUGAGGUCCAGUAAACUAAUCAUCAAAUUAAGCCACCAAAAUCUUAUCAAAUAGGACCACUCUGGAGGAGAGUGGUGGAUGUAAGUGGUACCAGGUACUCGUCGCCUGGGUUCUUUCCCAGAGGUAAACCUAGAGCUGCCUUUCUUAAGGACACCAUUACAACAUUGCCGAGUCAGACUGUCAAGGGAGUCUGAGCUUUGUCAUGUAUGGGUGGCAUUGCAUUAGGACGUUGCACGGUUUCUCUAUCUUAUUUCAAAAAGGUGAAGAUAGAAAGGGCAUUGCCCGUGGUAGUGUUUGCCAAUAUAUGUGUGGUUCUAGGUGUAAUGGCCAGCACAGAACAACAAACACAGAACUACAAACACUCAACAACAAAUAAAGACAGAAGCAGAUGCGAUAGUGUAAACCCAGCAUUCAGGAGGCUAAGGCAGGAAGGUUAUGAGUUCGAGAGUAGACAGAGAAUUUUAGGGCCAGACAGGGUUAUAUUGGACUCUCUCUCAAAAUAAAGAUGGAGGUAGAUAUAAAGAGAGGAAAUAAAGAUGGACUUGUUGUUUGAUAAGUAUACUACAUCUAGAAGAAUCUCUGUGAUAUUAGUUAAGGACAAUUAUAGAUACAGAGGGUUUGAGCACACUUAAGAGACAGACAGGGUCAGUUGCUUUAUUUUCCCAGAUGGGAUUUCAAGCUUUAAGCUCCUGAGAAAACCAGGGCAGGAAUUUAGGGUACUCAACUACCAGAUUAGUGUUUCUUUGUUAUUUACAGGAUCUGUCCCCAUUUCUGUGGAUAUGAAAUAAGGUCUGAUUUAGAAGGUGUCACUCAAAUAAGGAAAAAGAAUCACCCUUAGAACAAACGAGAAUGUUAGGCUUUAGGCUUCGUAGUAAUGUAGGAUAAAGAUGCUUAAAAAGAAAAAGGACAAAAGCAAUGGGUUGGAAGUUGAAAGGUGAGGAACCCAGUUAAAUGUCCAUAGAAUACUGCUUGCCCUGGAACGUACAGGAUGCAAUUAUUUUGAGACAACAUUUAGAUCACAGAGAAGCCAUGGUGGGAUCAGAGCCCUUUAACUUUUAAGCUAAUUUCUUGUAACUACCAGCUCCACUCUGUGUUUGUUUUCCUUUUUGCUUUCUCUCAUUAUGUAAUGAUAUUUGGAAAGAAACUACUUGGCUCAGUUUUUGUAGUG
ensembl:processed_transcript Mir100hg Mir100 Mirlet7a-2 Mir125b-1 cluster host gene